GGAAGGGGUUGUGCCCAAAAUGUAUCAGCAAAGUUGGGAGCAUGACAUUGUGCUAAAUCUCUAAUCUCUAACUAAGGGACCGAGACCAACUUCUAAAAAACAACCCCACACCAUCAUCAUAAUACUAAUGAUCCCCCCUCUACCAAACUUUACACUUGGCACAGUGCAGUCAGACAUCUACUGUUCUCCUGGCAAUUAUGCUUGUUGAUGUAAGGUUUCAAUGCAUGAAAAACCACUCUACUUUUCUUGAUAUGAUCUGAAGCUACAUGAAGUUUGGAGGUGUGUAGUGAUGUAGUAACUCUGAAGCUACAUGAAGUUUGGAGGUGUGUAGUGAUGAUGAACUCUGAAGCUACAUGAAGUUUGGAGGUGUGUAGUGAUGUAGUAACUCUGAAGCUACAUGAAGUUUGGAGGUGUGUAGUGAUGAUGAACUCUGAAGCUACAUGAAGUUUGGAGGUGUGUAGUGAUGUAGUAACUCUGAAGCUACAUGAAGUUUGGAGGUGUGUAGUGAUGAUGAACUCUGAAGCUACAUGAAGUUUGGAGGUGUGUAGUGAUGAACUCUGAAGCUACAUGAAGUUUGGAGGUGUGUAGUGAUGAACUCUGAAGCUACAUGAAGUUUGGAGGUGUGUAGUGAUGAACUCUGAAGCUACAUGAAGUUCGGAGGUGUGUAGUGAGUGAUGAACUCUGAAGUUCAUCACUACACUGGGCUCCUGAGAGACCUAUGCUUUUAAAAUGUGUAAAAGUUUAUAGAUACAGUCAAAAAUGAGUAAAAUGAGUAAAAAAUAGUAAUAAUUACAUCCCAGCACAAAACCAGAACAUUAGAGUUACACCUUAAUCCUCCUCCAAAUCUUACAUAAGUAGUUAUAAAGGUAUUGUCAGGUGUUGCAUCAGGACAAAAAACAGGGUGAAAACACUAUUUUGCAAUCUCCAAGGCUAAUCCAAGGAUAAAUAGAGAAUUUUUAAAGCCACAAAUC